UGAAAACUGCCUUUCCUUUCAAACUAAAAGUGAAGAGGGAAAAUGGAAAUUUGACAACUGCCAGAAGAAGAGCACCUACAUGUGCAAGAAAAGAGCAAGAGGACAGAAACCGGAACCUCCACGCCAUGACGGUUUUCGGGAGAUCCUUGUGUGCAACCAGCAGAAGCACGUCGACCUCUUUUGUCAGAGUGAGGGUCAAAGCGUCAUCCGCAUCCAGUCGGCUUUCUACGGACGGAGGAGUGGCAGCCUUUG